CCUGAUAGCUCAGUUGGUAAAGAAUCCACUUGGAAUGUGGGAGACCUGGGUUCGAUCCCUGGGUCAGGA
rnacentral:tRNA from 1 species